UUCAGAGGUCUCAAGCGUUGUUCGGAUUCAUUGGGCGUAAAGGGUGCGUAGGCGGCGCGGUAAGUCGGGUGUGAAAUCUCGGGGCUUAACUCCGAAACUGCAUUCGAUACUGCCGUGCUUGAGGACUGGAGAGGAGACUGGAAUUUACGGUGUAGCGGUGAAAUGCGUAAAUAUCGUAAGGAAGACCAGUGGCGAAGGCGGGUCUCUGGACAGUUCCUGACGCUGAGGCACGAAGGUCAGGGGAGCAAACGGG
rnacentral:rRNA from 1 species